CCUCCCCUGCCUUGUUUGUGAUCGGCGGGUAUAUUUAGAACCAACAUUCUAAAAUGAGGGAGCCUUCCCUGACUGGCGGCCGGCAUGUCCCAUAGCCGGGAAAGUCGAAAGCAAGCCAUAAGGCACCCACCUGUUUCGACAGGUUCAAACAUACCGUAGACACGGCAUGCGCGGGGGGGGA
rnacentral:other from 1 species